rnacentral:rRNA from 1 species
GACGAACCGUGCGCACGUUGUUCGGAAUCACUGGGCUUAAAGGGCGCGUAGGCGGGUUCGCAAGUCUGUGGUGAAAGCCUCCAGCUUAACUGGAGAAGUGCCGUGGAUACUGCGAAUCUUGAGGAGGGUAGGGGCGUCUGGAACGGUCGGUGGAGCGGUGAAAUGCGUUGAUAUCGACCGGAACUCCGGUGGCGAAGGCGAGGCUCUGGACCCUUUCUGACGCUGAGGCGCGAAAGCCAGGGGAGCAAACGGG